CCUACGUGCGGCAGCAGUGAGGAAUAUUGGUCAAUGGACGAGAGUCUGAACCAGCCAAGUAGCGUGAAGGAUGACUGCCCUAUGGGUUGUACACUUCUUUUAUAUGGGACUAAAAUGAUCCACGUGUGGGAUUUUGUAUGUACCAUAUGAAUAAGGAUCGGCUAACUCCGUGCCAGCAGCCGCGGUAAUACGGAGGAUCCGAGCGUUAUCCGGAUUUAUUGGGUUUAAAGGGAGCGUAGGUGGAUUGUUAAGUCAGUUGUAAAAGUUUGCGGCUCAACCGUAAAAUUGCAGUUGAAACUGGCAGUCUGGAGUACAGUAGAGGUAGGCGGAAUUCGUGGUGUAGCGGUGAAAUGCUUAGAUAUCACGAAGAACUCCGAUUGCGAAGGCAGCUCACUGGACUGCAACUGACACUGAGGCUCGAAAGUGUGGGUAUCAAACAGGAUUAGAUACCCGAGUAGUC
rnacentral:rRNA from 1 species